rnacentral:rRNA from 1 species
GAUGAACGCUGGCGGCGUGCCUAAUACAUGCAAGUCGAGCGAACAGACGAGGAGCUUGCUCCCCUGACGUUAGCGGCGGACGGGCGAGUAACACGUGGAUAACCUACCUAUAAGACUGGGAUAACUUCGGGAAACCGGAGCUAAUACCGGAUAAUAUAUUGAACCGCAUGGUUCAAUAGUGAAAGACGGUUUUGCUGUUACUUAUAGAUGGAUCCGCGCCGCAUUAGCUAGUUGGUAAGGUAACGGCUUACCAAGGCAACGAUGCGUAGCCGACCUGAGAGGGUGAUCGGCCACACUGGAACUGAGACACGGUCCAGACUCCUACGGGAGGCAGCAGUAGGGAAUCUUCCGCAAUGGGCGAAAGCCUGACGGAGCAACGCCGCGUGAGUGAUGAAGGUCUUCGGAUCGUAAAGCUCUGUUAUUAGGGAAGAACAAAUGUGUAAGUAACUAUGCACGUCUUGACGGUACCUAAUCAGAAAGCCACGGCUAACUACGUG